UCUAAACCCUAACCUUGAGCCCUAAACUAUAAAUCAUAAAGCAUGAGCCCUAAACCUUAAGACUUGAACCCGAAACACUAAACUUUUGAGCCGUAAAUCUUAAGCCCUAAGUCUUAAGUCUUAAACCUUAAACCUUAAACCUUAAACCUUAAAUCUUAAAUCUUAAAUCUUAAAUCUUAAAUCUAAAUCCUAAGCCCUAAACCCC
rnacentral:lncRNA from 1 species